CCUACGGGUGGCAGCAGUGGGGAAUAUUGCACAAUGGGGGAAACCCUGAUGCAGCGACGCCGCGUGAGUGAAGAAGUAUUUCGGUAUGUACAGCUCUGUCAGCAGGGAAGAAAAUGACGGUACCUGACCAAGAAGCCCCGUCUAACUACGUGCCAGCAGCCGCGGUAAUACGUAGGGGGCAAGCGUUAUCCGGAUUUACUGGGUGUAACGGUAGCUUAGCCGGCAGGGCAAGUCUGGAGUGAAAGGCGCGGGCUCAACCCCCGUACUGCUCUGGAAACUGCCAGGCUGGAGUGCAGGAGAGGUAAGUGGAAUUACGAGUGUAGCGGUGAAAUGCGUAGAUAUUAGGAGGAACACCAGUGGCGAAGGCGGCUUACUGGACUGUCACUGACGUUGAGGCUCGAAAGCGUGGGGAGCAAACAGGAUUAGAUACCCGGGUAGUC
rnacentral:rRNA from 1 species